GCUAUUGUAGCUCAGUGGCAGAGCACUUCAUUGGUAAUGAAGAGGUCGGGGGUCCAAUUCCCCUCAAUAGCU
rfam:Eubacterium sp. CAG:252 genomic scaffold, scf122